rnacentral:rRNA from 1 species
AUUGAACGCUGGCGGCAGGCCUAACACAUGCAAGUAGAACGAGUGGCGGACGGGUGAGUAAUGUAUGGGAAACUGCCCGAUGGAGGGGGAUAACUACUGGAAACGGUAGCUAAUACCGCAUACCAUCGGAUGUGCCCAGAUGGGAUUAGCUAGUAGGUGGGGGAACGGCUCACCUAGGCGACGAUCCCUAGCUGGUCUGAGAGGUGGAUCAGCCACACUGGGACUGAGACACGGUCCAGACUCCUACGGGAGGCAGCAGUGGGGAAUAUUGCACAAUGGGCGCAAGCCUGAUGCAGCCAUGCCGCGUGUAUGAAGAAGGCCUUAGGGUUGUAAAGUACUUUCAGCGAGGAGGCGUUACUCGCAGAAGAAGCACCGGCUAACUCCGUGCCAGCAGCCGCGGUAAUAC